rnacentral:rRNA from 1 species
UGAGGAAUAUUGGUCAAUGGGCGGAAGCCUGAACCAGCCAAGUAGCGUGCAGGAUGACGGCCCUAUGGGUUGUAAACUGCUUUUGAAGGGGAGUAAAGUGAGUGACUUGUCAUUCAUUGCAAGUACCCUUGGAAUAAGGACCGGCUAAUUCCGUGCCAGCAGCCGCGGUAAUACGGAAGGUCCGGGCGUUAUCCGGAUUUAUUGGGUUUAAAGGGAGCGUAGGCUGCCCGGCAAGCGUGCUGUGAAAUACAGUGGCCCAACCACUGGACUGCAGCGCGAACUGUCGGGCUUGAGGGCGCACGACGCAGGCGGAAUUUGUGGUGUAGCGGUGAAAUGCUUAGAUAUCACGAAGAACCCCGAUUGCGAAGGCAGCUUGCGGGAGCGCGACUGACGCUGAAGCUCGAAAGUGCGGGUAUCAAACAGGAUUAGAUACCCUGGUAGUCCGCACGGUAAACGAUGGAUGCCCGCUGUUGACCCACCUGGGCCAGCGGCCAAGCGAAAGCAUUAAGCAUCCCACCUGGGGAGUACGCCGGCAACGGUG